rnacentral:rRNA from 1 species
UUCCACGUGUAGCGGUGAAAUGCGUAGAGAUGUGGAGGAACACCAGUGGCGAAGGCGGCUUUUUGGUCUGUAACUGACGCUGAGGCGCGAAAGCGUGGGGAGCAAACAGGAUUAGAUACCCUGGUAGUCCACGCCGUAAACGAUGAGUGCUAAGUGUUAGAGGGUUUCCGCCCUUUAGUGCUGCAGCUAACGCAUUAAGCACUCCGCCUGGGGAGUACGGUCGCAAGACUGAA